UUACGGCCAUAACACGUUGAAACACUGCUUCCCGUACGAUCACCAAAGUUAAGAAACCUCAAACUUCGUCAGUACCUAGAUGGAUGACCGCUUGGGAAUACAAAAUAUUGU